GUUGAACGCUGGCGGCAGGCUUAACACAUGCAAGUCGAGCGGAGCGAGGGUGCUUGCACCUUAGCUUAGCGGCGGACGGGUGAGUAAUGCUUAGGAAUCUGCCUAUUAGUGGGGGACAACAUUCCGAAAGGGAUGCUAAUACCGCAUACGCACUACGGGGGAAAGCAGGGGAUCUUCGGACCUUGCGCUAAUAGAUGAGCCUAAGUCGGAUUAGCUAGUUGGUGGGGUAAAGGGCUACCAAGGCGACGCUCUGUAGCGGGUCUGAGAGGAUGAUCCGCCACACUGGGACUGAGACACGGCCCAGACUCCUACGGGAGGGAGCAGUGGGGAAAAUUGGACAAUGGGGGGAACCCUGAUCCAGCCAUGCCGCGUGUGUGAAGAAGGCCUUUUGGUUGUAAAGCACUUUAAGCGAGGAGGAGGCGCUCUAGGCUAAUACCCUAGAUGCGUGGACGUUACUCGCAGAAUAAGCACCGGCUAACUCUGUGCCAGCCGCCGCCGUAAAAC
rnacentral:rRNA from 1 species